UACGGGGGGAGCAAGCGUUGUUCGGAUUUACUGGGCGUAAAGGGCGCGUAGGCGGCCACCGCAAGUCAGUUGUGAAAUCUCUGGGCUUAACCCAGAAAGGUCAACUGAUACUGCGGGGCUAGAGUGCAGAAGGGGCAACUGGAAUUCUCGGUGUAGCGGUGAAAUGCGUAGAUAUCGAGAGGAACACCUGCGGCGAAGGCGGGUCUCUGGGCCGAUACUGACGCUGAGGAGCGAAAGCAUGGGGAGCGAACAGG
rnacentral:rRNA from 1 species